rnacentral:rRNA from 1 species
GACAGAGGGGGCAAGCGUUGCUCGGAAUUACUGGGCGUAAAGCGUGCGCAGGCGGUUUUGUAAGCCAGAUGUGAAAUCCCCGGGCUUAACCUGGGAAUGGCAUUUGGGACUGCAAGGCUGGAGUGUGGCAGAGGAGACUGGAAUUCCUGGUGUAGCAGUGAAAUGCGUAGAUAUCGUAAGGAAGACCAGUGGCGAAGGCGGGUCUCUGGACAGAUCCUGACGAUGAGGCACGAAGGUCAGGGGAGCAAACGGG